UGAGGAAUAUUGGACAAUGGGUGAAAACCUGAUCCAGCCAUGCCGCGUGCAGGAAGACGGCCCUAUGGGUUGUAAACUGCUUUUGUAUGGGAGCAAUAAGCUCUACGUGUAGAGUGAUGAGAGUACCAUACGAAUAAGCAUCGGCUAACUCCGUGCCAGCAGCCGCGGUAAUACGUAGGGGGCAAGCGUUGUCCGGAAUUACUGGGUGUAAAGGGAGUGUAGGCGGCUGUGCAAGUCAGAAGUGAAAGCCCGGGGCUCAACCCCGGGACUGCUUUUGAAACGGUCAUGCUUGAAUCAUGGAGAGGGUAGCGGAAUUCCGAGUGUAGAGGUGAAAUUCGUAGAUAUUCGGAAGAACACCGGUGGCGAAGGCGGCUACCUGGCCAUGUAUUGACGCUCAGGUGCGAAAGCGUGGGGAGCAAACA
rnacentral:rRNA from 1 species